AGGUUUCUUUGUCUCCUAUCUGUAUAUAACAGCAAAGUCAGAGUGCCGAAGUGAAAAAUCUGGUGCAGGUAAGUGUGCCGUUCUGUGUGCCUAUGACAGUGACUGUCCGAACAAUGAGAAAUGCUACAGCAAUGGACGUGGACGUCAGUGUAUGGCUCCAAAUACAGUUAAGUCUGUGCCCAAGCCUCCAGUGAUGCUUGCCGCCAAACUAUUCAAGCCUCCAAUGAAGCCCGCUGCUGAACUGUCCAU